UGCCUUCAUGCCACCAGCCAGCGCUGCCUGUCGCGCAUGCGCUGUUCUUGUUGGGUUCGCUUUGGCUGCUGUAACGGUCGUUUCUCGUCGCCGCGUGUAGUUCGCGUAAUUGCGAGCGUUCCAGCAAGUCUAAAGCGUUUAAGAGGCUUUGUAUUGUUGUUCUCACCUGAUGCUGUCGUUCUUGCAACCCGUCUGAUAUUGCAACUGUCUGUAAGUGGAAGCGUUUCUUCUAACCGCGAGCAGACCAGUCGGUCUCGUUUGACAUGUCAAAGAGUGAAGACGCUGCCUUGCAUGUGAAGCCAAAUCGUUCUUCGCCUUCAGGAUUCUUGCCGUUUCAGGGAUCUGCACAACGACAGGGAGAUAGAACGCCAAGUGAAGUCUACUGUAUGCUUUGUGCAGACGGUUCAGCGUGUAUGACGCAGCGGCCUCCAGCAAGAGAAACUCAAGCACCGUGUUCAAAUGCGGUGGGGACUCUUGCUCGACAUAACAACGCUUAGAAGUGCUUUUUCGGAAGAAGGACAAGUUGGACCGGAAAUGAGGACCUAGGUGUGCUCUUUUGCGUUGUUGUUCACCGUUUGAUCAUUACCAAUUUUUGUGCCCCCGUGAGUUCAACGCUCAGGUAUGUUGAUGAUAAAUGGAUAUGCGUUAAAAGGUACGUACUCCGGAGUGGUGAAUUGUUGUGGUGAAGUGAUUUGUUGCUGCUAUCUCCUGUUUCGUGAGGGUUCUUGUCGGUACUCAUAUACCGCAGGCAUGAGGGGCUUUCUUUGCAGAACAUUUCAGUGAACCAAGACUGCAGCAUUUUCAAGAUUGCCAUAACCAGCAUCAAUGCAGCUCUCAUGUCAACAUCAGCAUCAAGACAGCUCUGAUAGACCACCUCUUACUGGGUACGUU